rnacentral:rRNA from 1 species
GUCGGCAGCUAGCUCUCUGCAACUCUCGCAUGGUUGGACACUGAAGCUAAGCACGGCUGAGCCUGGUCAGUAUCUGGAUGAGAGACCACAUGGGAAAGCUACAUUGCUGCCGGAA